GAUGAACGCUGGCGGCGUGCCUAAUACAUGCAAGUCGAGCGAACGGACGAGAAGCUUGCUUCUCUGAUGUUAGCGGCGGACGGGUGAGUAACACGUGGAUAACCUACCUAUAAGACUGGGAUAACUUCGGGAAACCGGAGCUAAUACCGGAUAAUAUUUUGAACCGCAUGGUUCAAAAGUAAAAGACGGUCUUGCUGUCACUUAUAGAUGGAUCCGCGCUGCAUUAGCUAGUUGGUAAGGUAACGGCUUACCAAGGCAACGAUGCAUAGCCGACCUGAGAGGGUGAUCGGCCACACUGGAACUGAGACACGGUCCAGACUCCUACGGGAGGCAGCAGUAGGGAAUCUUCCGCAAUGGGCGAAAGCCUGACGGAGCAACGCCGCGUGAGUGAUGAAGGUCUUCGGAUCGUAAAACUCUGUUAUUAGGGAAGAACAUAUGUGUAAGUAACUGUGCACAUCUGGACGGUACCUAAUCAGAAAGCCACGGCUAACUACGU
rnacentral:rRNA from 1 species